AUCCAGCUGAUGAGUCCUAAAUUAAACGGAACAUGCGUCCUGGAU
rnacentral:hammerhead_ribozyme from 1 species